AUUGAACGCUGGCGGCAUGCCUAACACAUGCAAGUCGAACGGUAACGGGCCCUUCGGGGUGCUGACGAGUGGCGGAUGGGUGAGUAAUACUUAGGAAUCUACCCUGUAGUGGGGGACAACCCGGGGAAACGUCGGGCUAAUACCGCAUACACUCUACGGAGGAAAGCGGGGGACCGCAAGGCCUCGCGCUAUUGGAUGAGCCUAAGCCCGAUUAGCUAGUUGGUGGGGUAAUGGCCUACCAAGCCUGCGAUCUGUAGCUGGUCUGAGAGGACGAUCAGCCACACUGGGACUGAGACACGGCCCAGACUCCUACGGGAGGCAGCAGUGGGGAAUCUUGCGCAAUGGGCGAAAGCCUGACGCAGCCAUGCCGCGUGAGUGAAGAAGGUCUUAGGAUUGUAAAAGCUCUUUUCGCUCGUGACGAUGAUGACGUAACGAGAGAAGAAGCCCCGGCUAACUUCGUGCCAGCCGCCGCGGUAAU
rnacentral:rRNA from 1 species